GGCUACGUAGCUCAGCUGGUUAGAGCCACAUCACUCAUAAUGAUGGGGUCACAGGUUCGAAUCCCGUCGUAGCCACCA
rnacentral:tRNA from 1 species